rnacentral:rRNA from 1 species
CCUACGGGAGGCAGCAGUGAGGAAUAUUGGUCAAUGGCCGCAGGGCUGAACCAGCCAAGUCGCGUGAGGGAUGACGGUCCUAUGGAUUGUAAACCUCUUUUGUCAGGGAGCAAAGGGCGCCACGUGUGGCGCUUUGCGAGUACCUGAAGAAAAAGCAUCGGCUAACUCCGUGCCAGCAGCCGCGGUAAUACGGAGGAUGCGAGCGUUAUCCGGAUUUAUUGGGUUUAAAGGGGGCGCAGGCGGAAUUUCAAGUCAGCGGUAAAAUUUCGGGGCUCAACCCCGUCGUGCCGUUGAAACUGGCGUUCUUGAGUGAGCGAGAAGUAUGCGGAAUGCGUGGUGUAGCGGUGAAAUGCAUAGAUAUCACGCAGAACUCCGAUUACGAAGGCAGCAUACCGGCGCUCAACUGACGCUCAUGCACGAAAGCGUGGGUAUCGAACAGGAUUAGAUACCCUUGUAGUC